ACUCAAAGGAAUAGACGGGGGCCCGCACAAGCAGCGGAGCAUGUGGUUUAAUUCGAAGCAACGCGAAGAACCUUACCAGGUCUUGACAUCCUGCUAAAGCUAUUGAAAGGUAGUGUCCCGCAAGGGGAGCAGAGACAGGUGGUGCAUGGUUGUCGUCAGCUCGUGUCGUGAGAUGUUGGGUUAAGUCCCGCAACGAGCGCAACCCCUGCACUCAGUUACCAGCGCGUAAAGGCGGGGACUCUGAGAGGACUGCCGUGGACAACACGGAGGAAGGUGGGGACGACGUCAAAUCAUCAUGCCCCUUAUGACCUGGGCUACACACGUGCUACAAUGGGCGCAACAAAGGGAAGCGAAGGCGUGAGCCGGAGCGGAUCUCAAAAAAGCGUUCUCAGUUCGGAUUGUGGGCUGCAACCCGCCCACAUGAAGUCGGAGUUGCUAGUAAUCGCGAAUCAGCAUGUCGCGGUGAAUACGUUCCCGGGCCUUGUACACACCGCCCGU
rnacentral:rRNA from 1 species